rnacentral:lncRNA from 1 species
UGAGGAUCAAUGUGAAUUUGAAUUUACUGAUGGACAUAUAUAUACUACGUUUGGAUGGCAGCCUCCCGCAUCCGUGUCCGUGGGCUGGUCGCUGUCCCAGGACGCAUGCAGGAGAAAAAUUUACGGGUUGCCGUCGGACUUAAGCAUCGAAGAUUACAGUGCUACCUUUUUUGCCAACUGACAUGUGAAUGACAUUUUUUUAGUCACCUUCACGUCUCACAUGGAGGCGCAUAUCCAAAGCUCAUGGAACUUAUUUUCGUCUGUUACCAUAUUUGUCCUGUGUAGACUGGAAAUAAGAGCAUCACAUAUACGAGUAGUUGUGCAAUAUAGAAUUGCGUCGAACUUUGUUUGACCGCUGGCCAAAAGUGCUUUCGUACACGGCAGCUAGCCGUUCCUUAUGCUGUGGACUGUGGUGCAUAUCCACGCAACAUCCAAAAAAAAAAAUUAUUUCCGCCAUUUACCUCAGAAGUCCAAAUCUAUAUAGAGAAGUGAACAAUACAUUUUAAGACUCUGAAGCAUGACAACUUAUUUCACACCAGCAAGAUUAUUCUUGUAACACAUUAGUAAGAGACCAGAGGUGCACGGAAGCCACCAUGGCAUAUGCUCGUACCCAGACUCCCAAUACCUAUUAAUUGAUCGACGGCGGUGGCGGCGGCGUCAGGGGAAUCACCACCCCCGAGUUCUCGUUAGGGAUUGGCGAGGGAGGGUCCUUCAGUGGUAUCCUCUGUCCCAAGCGCCUAGCAGCUCCCAUCCCUGACACCUUUCCCCCUUGACUAUGAAGCCCGCCCGUUUGACCCCACGCACCAGCACCGCCACCUAGCAUCAUCACCAUAAUCACAUCAACGGACCCAAUUAUACAUACAAAGAACGAAGCGCGGAUUCGGAUACAUCCAAAGAGAACUAUAUAUACCUGGAGCAUGACGCGGUGGGUCAUGUGCGGCGGCCACACAUGGAUAGGAAGUUAGCAGGGGCGGGAGAAGGAGGACGAUGACGAUGACGAGAAAACAGGUGGCUCCCCGUUGGUACAUCUUGCCGUCUUGGGGGGGAGAGAGUUGGCUCGAUGGGAGAUCGAAAAGGUAAAGAGGAAAGAGAGGGGAUACACAAUUGAAGGAGUAUUUAAUGCAUCGGUGGUGUGUAAAGCUGAAAAUCGAGGGGCAAUAUUGAAAGAAAUCAGGAAAAAGGCUUUGUGGCAAACUAAAAAGGAAAAAGAACUACACACAAACAAAAUGAAAAACUGUGCUCGAGUCAGUAGCGUAACGAGACAAUGAGUGAGAGCUUUGCUUUGUGUGUGGUGUGAGCUGUUCGUUGUCUG